GGUUCUAUGGUGUAAUGGUUAGCACUCUGGACUCUGAAUCCAGCGAUCGGAGUUCAAGUCUCGGUAGAACCU
rnacentral:tRNA from 1 species